UUAGGCAGAGUUCUUAGAAUGUAUUUUUGUUCACCUGAAAAAUAAAACUUUUAAAAAAUAUACAGGACUUUUAAAGUACAGGUAUAUCUUGAAUGGCUGAAUUAUAAAUAAUGUCUCUGGUCAUGUUCACAGCUAGGGCUGGAGAAAAUGUCCCAAUUCCAGUGAAGGCUUAUAGAGUCAGGAGGCCAGCUGGACCACAAGUGGUCUUGCUGAACUCUUUGAUCCAAAGUGGAUUUAAACAGUCCAUAAAGCAGGGUCAGGAGGGGAAGAGGAAUGGACUCCCAGACACUCUCCCACGAGUCCAGAGGAUUCUUGGAAUAAGAGAUCAAUUUACAAAUUAUUAAAAUAUAGGACUAAAAAUUCACACCAUGAAUAUAAAUGACAGGCUAUUAUUGAAGAUACAAAGUGGCAUUUUAUGUUUCUUCCCCCCAGUCUCUCAUCAAAAAUUUAAAAAGUCCCCAUGGGCUUCCUAAUGACUUAAGUCCUCAUCAGCUGUGAAGAAAUCUCCAAGCCCAGACACCUUGGGGUGUUGGCAGCCUGCUGGGAGGCUGCCAGCUUAGUUGCUAUUUUCUUGCCCAGGACAGGACAUGGCUUAAAUCAAGACUGUUGUCCUGUAAACCUGAAUCAGAGCUAACUACAAGGUAGGCCAGAAAAGUGGAUAGACAGUUUCAGGACUAAGGUGGGCAAGGUUCCUGUUUUGUUUCUUUUUUAAAUAGCUUAUUUCCCAAAAAGGAAACACUAGGGGGUUUGAUCUCUGUCACUACCCACACUCUAUUGCCUAAAAGCAAGUGGCAGGAGGGAAUGGAAUCUAAACAAAGAAUAAUUCCUGCUGCCCUGGAGCUGUGUGUUUCUGUGUGUGUGUGUGUCACCACCUCUAGAAAAUUGUUGGCUGCAUUUAAGUGGAAGCUUAUAAGGAAUGAGAAAGACAAGCUGCCAAUUCAACCUUCCCAUAGCCGGUCUCUUUACUCGCUAUCUAAGCACACUCCUGAGCCUGAAGUCUACCUUCUGCUCUUUCUUACCCAAUAAAGCAACUCAGAACCACAUCAAAGCUCUGGUUUUGCAACUGAUUUGUUCCUAACAGCAAGCUGCUGUGUUGGGCUCAGAAAAUAGGAAAUGCAAAAAUGAGUAAGACAAGAUCUAGAAGAGCAAGAAAUUAAAUAAGACAAGAUCUGGAACCGAUAAGAUAGUUGAGGAGUCGGGAAAGGAAUGGGAGAAAACACUUGCCAAUCAGUAUACUUAAAAAGGCUUGCUCUUCCUAAAGGAGUUCUGUGAGGGGAAGGGACCAAUCUAAACACAGCAGCCUUACUCUUUCUCUCCAUUGCCCCUGGCACGGAUCCAGAGAUUCAAGCUACAACAGGAAGCCACUUUGGUGGGAGCACUAGGAUGGGAACCGGAGGGGGAUCAGCACAGUCCCCACUCUCCCUAAACAGUUUCUAUUGCUAAGGUUUUUCCACUGUCAUGGUAGCAGUCUAAGAAUGAUUAUACUCUUGUGUAAGAACGUCAGAAACUUAUCUUUCUG
rnacentral:lncRNA from 1 species